CCACAGUAUAAUUCACUAGAAGAAGUUCCCCUUCAAAAUUUAUUAGUGGAAAUUUAGGACAUUGCUUGAAGUUAUUUUAUAAAAUUCCGGCAUGCUUUCUUUCUUUUUUUUAAAAGAACUUUUUAUUUAUUAUUAUUUAUUUAUUUUUUGUCUUUUGAGGGACGUACCCGCAGCAUAUGGAGGUUCCCAGACUAGGGGUCUAAUCAGACGUGUAAUUGCUGGCCUGUGCCAGAGCCACAACAACUCGGGAUCCGAGCCGCCUCUGCGACCCACACCAUAGCUCAUGGCAACGCUGGAUCCUUAACCCACUGAGCGAGGCCAGGGAUCGAACCUGCAACCUCGAGGUUCCUAGUUGGAUUCGUUAACCACUGCGCCACGCCACGAUGGGAAGUCCAAUUCUGGCAUGCUUUCUAACUCCAUUUCUGGGAAGUUGUGCUAUCUAGUAAACAUAAACCAGCUUGAGGAUUAAUUUACUUAUAGGAGGUGUGGGGGGGAGGUGGCUGUAUUAUUAGGUCCGCCCAGUAGGGCUUUUUGGUUUUCUUUUGUUUUUAAAACCAAGACUCUCUCUUCUUGAAUAGUUCUGUGGGAAAUGUGUUGCUUGGCAACCCCCCCACACACACAUCCUCACCCUCUGCACUGACUGGGGGCCAUUUACUCUCAGAGAAACCACCAGGAGGAAGCUGCCUGUGAGGGAGAUGAGCUGUCAGCAACACUGCACUCAGAGGACUGCCCUUGCAGAGAGCUGCAAGCAGACAAACCAGAACUCCAGAGCCCCUGGUCUCCUGGCUCAUUUGAAUUUGUCCUCUAGUCUGUUACAUAUUUUUUUCACACGUAUAAUCGUUUGUUUGCAGUCUGGAAAUAUAAAACCAGUCAAGAAACAGAGGCCAGAGUAUUGGUCUGGACAAAGCUCCCAGGUGACAAUGAUGGGCCUUGUUGGUGUGCAGUGCUGGUGGAACAAAUCUCUGUUCCACCUGUGCAUCUUACUCUCUAUCAAUCAGCACAUCAUCCAAGGUAAGCUCAUCAAUGCUGGAUCCUUAACUCACUGCAUCACAAGUGAACACUGGGAACUUCUUAUCUUCAAGGCUAAUUUUAUUGUGACAAGGGCAUAA
rnacentral:lncRNA from 1 species